rnacentral:rRNA from 1 species
GGUUAAGCGACUAAGCGUACACGGUGGAUGCCCUGGCAGUCAGAGGCGAUGAAGGACGUGCUAAUCUGCGAUAAGCGCCGGUAAGGUGAUAUGAACCGUUAUAACCGGCGAUUUCCGAAUGGGGAAACCCAGUGUGAUUCGUCACACUAUCAUUAACUGAAUCCAUAGGUUAAUGAGGCGAACCGGGGGAACUGAAACAUCUAAGUACCCCGAGGAAAAGAAAUCAACCGAGAUUCCCCCAGUAGCGGCGAGCGAACGGGGAGGAGCCCAGAGCCUGAAUCAGCAUGUGUGUUAGUGGAAGCGUCUGGAAGGGCGCGCGAUACAGGGUGACAGCCCCGUACACAAAAGCGUAUGUGCUGUGAGCUCGAUGAGUAGGGCGGGACACGUGGUAUCCUGUCUGAAUAUGGGGGGACCAUCCUCCAAGGCUAAAUACUCCUGACUGACCGAUAGUGAACCAGUACCGUGAGGGAAAGGCGAAAAGAACCCCGGCGAGGGGAGUGAAAAAGAACCUGAAACCGUGUACGUACAAGCAGUGGGAGCACAGGUUUACC